CUAAUGCUUUCAUCUUUCCCUUUAUAACUAUUUAAACAUGCACUACUUUUUAGUAAAUUUUUACUUAUGUUAUAGUUUGAAUUGUGGCACUUCAGCAUUCUUGAGAAAUACAGAACUAAAGUAAAUGCAUAACUCUUUGUAGGAAUGUCAGUAAAAACUUCUUAGUUCUUUCUUUCUUGUUCUGCUGACUUUUGCUCGGGAGACAGGGUCUUAACAUGUACUACAGGCUUUCCUAGACCUGAUUGCAUAGACUAGGCUGGGAUUUAACUCAGACACAGAUAUACCUGCCUCUGUCUUCUGAGUCCUGCUGUUAAAGGCAUGAGCCAAUACACCCAGAUUGUCCAUCUUAUUUUUCUUUAUAUUUAGUAAUUGUUGAUACAAUUUCUCUUGUGUGUACUCUGUACUGUUGAUCUGUUUACUUCUCUCUCUAUAUUUGUUAAUAAGCAUUUCUCUUGCAAGGUGAUAUCCCAUACAAAGGGUACAGAAAUGACAGAAGUGAUCCUCCUAUUCAGCUUCCUUCAAAAGGGACUUGUUGAUUACAUAUAAUUUGUAUGUCAUGAAGUAAGUGUGGGGAGCAUCAGAAUUAUAUGACUAUACUCUCAAAGAAGUAUACAUUUACAAUGUUGUAAGUAUUAUGGUUUCUCUUGUACAUGUGUAUGGGAUAUUUUAGAAUGCAGUGACCUAUGAUGAUGUGCAUGUCAACUUCACUUGGGAAGAGUGGACUUUACUGGAUCCUUCCCAGAAGAAUCUCUACAAAGAUGUGAUGCUGGAAACCUACAGGAACCUCACUAUUAUAGGAUACAAUUGGGAAGACCAUAAUACUGAAGAGCAUCUUCAAAGUUCUAGAGGAGAUGAAAGUCAUGAACAAAAUCAAACUGGAAAGAAACAUAC